UGGGGAAUUUUGGACAAUGGGCGCAAGCCUGAUCCAGCAAUGCCGCGUGCAGGAUGAAGGCCUUCGGGUUGUAAACUGCUUUUGUACGGAACGAAAAGUACUUCUCUAAUACAGAGGUGCGAUGACGGUACCGUAAGAAUAAGCACCGGCUAACUACGUGCCAGCAGCCGCGGUAAUACGUAGGGUGCGAGCGUUAAUCGGAAUUACUGGGCGUAAAGCGUGCGCAGGCGGUUAUGUAAGACAGAGGUGAAAUCCCCGGGCUCAACCUGGGAACUGCCUUUGUGACUGCAUGGCUAGAGUGCGGCAGAGGGGGAUGGAAUUCCGCGUGUAGCAGUGAAAUGCGUAGAUAUGCGGAGGAACACCGAUGGCGAAGGCAAUCCCCUGGGCCUGCACUGACGCU
rnacentral:rRNA from 1 species